AUUGAACGCUGGCGGCAUGCUUUACACAUGCAAGUCGAACGGUAACAGGCCGCCAGGUGCUGACGAGUGGCGAACGGGUGAGUAAUGCAUCGGAACGUGCCCAGUCGUGGGGGAUAACUACUCGGAAGAGUAGCUAAUACCGCAUACGAUCUAUGGAUGAAAGCGGGGGACCGUAAGGCCUCGCGCGAUUGGAGCGGCCGAUGUCAGAUUAGGUAGUUGGUGGGGUAAAGGCUCACCAAGCCAACGAUCUGUAGCUGGUCUGAGAGGACGACCAGCCACACUGGGACUGAGACACGGCCCAGACUCCUACGGGAGGCAGCAGCGGGGAAUUUUGGACAAUGGGCGCAAGCCUGAUCCAGCAAUGCCGCGUGCAGGAAGAAGGCCUUCGGGUUGUAAACUGCUUUUGUACGGAACGAAACGGCUCUGGUUAAUACCCGGGGCUAAUGACGGUACCGUAAGAAUAAGCACCGGCUAACUACGUG
rnacentral:rRNA from 1 species